rnacentral:rRNA from 1 species
GUGCCAGCCGCCGCGGUAAUACGUAGGGUGCGAGCGUUAAUCGGAAUUACUGGGCGUAAAGCGUGCGCAGGCGGUUCUCCAAGUCCGUUGUGAAAGCCCCGGGCUCAACCUGGGAAUGGCAGUGGAAACUAGGGGACUGGAAUCUGGCAGAGGGGGGUGGAAUGCCGCGUGUAGCAGUGAAAUGCGUAGAGAUGCGGCGGAACACCGAUGGCGAAGGCAGCCCCCUGGGCUGAGAUUGACGCUCAGGCACGAAAGCGUGGGGAGCAAACAGGAUUAGAAACCCCGGUAGUCC